AACGCGAAGAACCUUACCAGCCCUUGACAUCCCGGUCGCGGGAACGAGAGAUCGAUCCCUUCAGUUCGGCUGGGAACUCUAACGAGACUGCCUUGGUUAACAAGGAGGAAGGUGAGGAUGACGUCAAGUCCGCAUGGCCUUUAUGUCCAGGGCUACACACGUGCUACAAUGGUCGGUACAGAAGGCAGCAAGACCGCGAGGUGGAGCGAAUCCGUAAAACCGAUCUCAGUUCAGAUUGCAGUCUGCAACUCGGCUGCAUGAAGUUGGAAUUGCUAGUAAUGACGUGUCAGCAACAACGUCGUAGAAUACGUUCCCGGGCUUGUACACACCGACUGUAC
rnacentral:rRNA from 1 species